CAUUAAGCUGAAGGACCUAAGAG
rnacentral:piRNA from 1 species